AUACCGGCCCUCUUUAGGGCCACAAAGUAUUGAUUGUCCAUGAAA
rfam:Hymenolepis microstoma genomic scaffold, pathogens_HYM_contig_0013